rnacentral:rRNA from 1 species
GAGUUUGAUCCUGGCUCAGAGCGAACGCUGGCGGCAGGCCUAACACAUGCAAGUCGAACGAACUCUUCGGAGUUAGUGGCGUACGGGUGAGUAACACGUGGGAACGUGCCUUUAGGUUCGGAAUAACUCAGGGAAACUUGUGCUAAUACCGAAUGUGCCCUUCGGGGGAAAGAUUUAUCGCCUUUAGAGCGGCCCGCGUCUGAUUAGCUAGUUGGUGAGGUAAAGGCUCACCAAGGCGACGAUCAGUAGCUGGUCUGAGAGGAUGAUCAGCCACAUUGGGACUGAGACACGGCCCAAACUCCUACGGGAGGCAGCAGUGGGGAAUCUUGCGCAAUGGGCGAAAGCCUGACGCAGCCAUGCCGCGUGAAUGAUGAAGGUCUUAGGAUUGUAAAAUUCUUUCAGUAGGGACGAUAAUGACGGUACCUACAGAAGAAGCCCCGGCUAACUUCGUGCCAGCAGCCGCGGUAAUACGAAGGGGGCUAGCGUUGCUCGGAAUUACUGGGCGUAAAGGGAGCGUAGGCGGACAUUUAAGUCAGGGGUGAAAUCCCGGGGCUCAACCUCGGAAUUGCCUUUGAUACUGGGUGUCUUGAGUGUGAGAGAGGUAUGUGGAACUCCGAGUGUAGAGGUGAAAUUCGUAGAUAUUCGGAAGAACACCAGUGGCGAAGGCGACAUACUGGCUCAUUACUGACGCUGAGGCUCGAAAGCGUGGGGAGCAAACAGGAUUAGAUACCCUGGUAGUCCACGCCGUAAACGAUGAUUGCUAGUUGUCGGGAUGCAUGCAUUUCGGUGACGCAGCUAACGCAUUAAGCAAUCCGCCUGGGGAGUACGGUCGCAAGAUUAAAACUCAAAGGAAUUGACGG